UACGGGGGGGGCAAGCGUUGUUCGGAAUUACUGGGCGUAAAGGGCGCGUAGGCGGUCAGAUAAGUCAGCUGUGAAAACCUCGGGCUUAACCCGAGGCCUGCAGUUGAAACUGUUUGGCUGGAGUGUGGGAGAGGAGAGUGGAAUUCCCGGUGUAGUGGUGGAAUGCGUAGAUAUCGGGAGGAAUACCAGUGGCGAAAGCGGCACCCUGGCACUAGCCUGACGCUCAUGUGCGAAGGCGUGGGGAGCGAACGGG
rnacentral:rRNA from 1 species